UACGGGGGGGGCGAGCGUUGUUCGGAAUCACUGGGCGUAAGGGCGCGUAGGCGGCCCGCACAAGUCUGCGGUGAAACCCCCGGCUUAACCGGGGGCCGGCCGUGGAAACUGUCGGGCUAGAGGCCGGGAGAGGGCAGCGGAAUUCCCGGUGUGAGCGGUGAAAUGCGUAGAGAGUCGGGAGGACGACCGGCGGCGAAGGCGGCCCCCUGGGUUAACACUGA
rnacentral:rRNA from 1 species